UACGUAGGGACCGAGCGUUGUCCGGAAUCAUUGGGCGUAAAGAGCGUGUAGGCGGCCACUUAAGUCCUGCGUGAAAUCUUGCGGCUCAACCGCAAGCGGUCGUGGGAAACUGGGUGGCUAGAGUGCGGGAGAGGAGAGUGGAAUUCCUGGUGUAGCGGUGGAAUGCGCAGAUAUCAGGAGGAACACCAAUAGCGAAGGCAGCUCGCUGGGACGUUACUGACACUGAGGCGCGAAAGCGUGGGGAGCGAACAGG
rnacentral:rRNA from 1 species